ACCUUAUUUUUCACGACAACAAGGGCGGCGCCAUUUCGCUCAUUUUGUCAACGUUCUUCCGGCCGCAUACAUGAUGAGAAGCUGAGGCAGUGGCUGAAGGCGACGCGUUAAACUUAAAAAGCUCACUCAAGCGCCUUUAUGUUUGUUUCUUAUCAAUUAUAACGAACGGGAAGCCGACUGAGGAACACCCUUAUCCCAAGUAAAGGUUCGACUACGAUGUUCCGGUAAAUUUAAACCACGGCGGGUGUUGCAAAGGUGGCCAGUUUCAGAUGCAUUGAUGUGUAGUGAUGCAGUGAACAACUGUGAGGAUGAUACAAUCAACAACAUGUUCCUAAACUGUGAUGCAGAAACACAAUGGGAGGAUCCAUCCGUCUCUGACCACAACUACACUUUAAAAUCACAACUCAACCUGAAGCAACCUACAUCUGAUAUGGGAAAACAAUGGUGCGGUUUCCCGGACAGGGCUUAUUCUGGUACCAGGCUAAAAUGCAUAUUUGAGCUACAAUAAUUUAAAAACACCUUGUACUCACAUACCUCAACGAGUGCCAUUGUACGCACCAGUCUUGUUUUUUUGUAGGGUUUGUUUGUAAAAACUAAAAUGUCCUAAUAUAAUUAAGGCCUAGUCCUGUAAACCCUGUCCGAGAAACUGCUCCAAUGUGUUGAGCUGGCACAAAUGUACAGAAACAACCAUCCUUGUCAGCUUUACACAGGGUUGAUAUUGCAUCCAUUACACAGUCGCCAAGCACUUUACCAGUACAUACACCAACAGCUUCCAGAUAUACACCCGGGAUCAGCUCCUGAUGACUCUAAUAAAGCUGCAUCUUAAUUUAUUGCAGGGUGGUCUUGCUGAAAAGUUAGCUGUUUCUAGUCCAUAGUUAUUUUUAUAAACCUUUACAAUGUGACCUGAUUUUACCUGUUGUAAAGUUACAUUAAACCUUCAUAUGUGAUCAGAUGUCAUGCAGUGAUAUUAAACAUUUACAAUGUGGUAUGAUGCCAUGCAUUUAUAUUAAACCUUCAUAAUGUGAUCAGAUGUUACCUGCCAUGCAGUUAUAUUAAACCUUUACAAUGUGA